GAGAGAGAAUGUAGAGGCAGAGAGAGAGAGAAUGUAGAGGCAGAGAGAGAGAGGGGUACAGACAGACAUCAGACACAGGCUACAACCCACCAUAACCACAAGCACAACACUGAGGGUCGUUGCCACUUCACUUGAUCACACUCGUGUUAUAACAUUACUUCACGCAUAAAGAAAUGACCUGCGCAGGACCACAUUUAUAUUCAAAUUAUUCUCUUGAUUCUUUUCAGGCAGACCCGAUCGGGGACCGGGCAGCUGGGACGUUGAGCCCCGACUAUAGGAGGUCACGUUGUAUAGGAGCUCAACUCUUGUGAGCUGCUGCCGGAGGGUUCCCAACGGGUAGUGCCGGAACACCACCCCAGUCCCACCACAACCAGGUGUCUAGUGUUGACCAGCAACGGUCCCAGCGGCUGCUGGCGGGCUCCUAGUUCAACUGUAAUCUCUGACGUCACUAAUUACCACCAACAGGAGUUGCCUUUAGCUACGCCAUCAAUCAUCAGAGGGUCUACGAACGACUGCAGAAAUGCCCGAGCUGUUUUGAUUGUUGCUCAGAAGGCCGGCCAACGACGGGCCUUCUCUGAACAAUCAAAGGGGUACAGGCUAACGUGCAGCACAGCCCGUAACAGCAGUACACAGCCGUCAUUGCAGUCUACAGCAACACAGUAAGUCACAGGUCUACUGCAGCACACACAGUACGACACGUCACAGCAGUCUACAGCAACACAGUAAGUCACAGGUCUACUGCAGCACACACAGUACGUCACGUCACAGCAGUCUACAGCAACACUACCCAUCACAGCAGUCUACAGCAACACAGCCCAUCACAGCAGUCUACAGCAACACAGCCCAUCACAGCAGUCUACAGCAACAUAGCCCAUCACAGCAGUCUACAGCAACACAGCCCAUCACAGCAGUCUACAGCAGCACAGCCCAUCACAGCAGUCUACAGCAACAUAGCCCAUCACAGCAAUCUACAGAAACACUCAGCCCUCCACAAGUCUACAGCAACACUCAGCCCUCCACAAGUCCACAGCAGCACACAGUACGUUUCAGCGGUAUAUAGCAGCACACAGUUUGACACAGCAGUCUACAGUAAGAAAUGGUUUAUUACAGCAGUCUACAGCAAAUCACUGUAGCUAGUAGUAGGCUUCUUACUACUGGCUACAGUGCUUGACAUGGUAUUAUACUGAAGUCUACAGCCCUGUGCACAAUGCUUCACUACAAGUUAUAGUUCAGUGAAAGAUUUUGUCUUGCUCUGAUCAUACUUCAUAGGAUCAAUUCUAUAGUAUGACUGGCGAGUUCCUUGUCCGAAAUUCUGAAAUGUACAUCACACCACGAUGUACAUUUAUGGCAUUUAUAGACCAGUUGCAGUACAUGAUUGUCACCACUGAUUACGUUAUAACAUAAGAAUAUCUAAGAUGUGA